rnacentral:rRNA from 1 species
UCUAGUGGCGGACGGGUGAGUAACGCGUAGGAACCUGCCAAGCAGUGGGGAAUAACAGCUGGAAACGGCUGCUAAUACCGCAUACGCCCUUCGGGGGAAAGAUUUAUCGCUGUUUGAGGGUCCUGCGUUCGAUUAGCUAGUUGGUGAGGUAACGGCCCACCAAGGCGACGAUCUAUAGCUGGUCUGAGAGGACGAUCAGCCACACUGGGACUGAGACACGGCCCAGACUCC